rnacentral:rRNA from 1 species
CCUACGGGCGGCAGCAGUGAGGAAUAUUGGUCAAUGGGCGGGAGCCUGAACCAGCCAAGUCGCGUGAGGGAAGAAGGUCCUACGGAUUGUAAACCUCUUUUGCCGGGGAGCAACGGGGUCCUUGCGAGGGCCCGAUGAGAGUACCCGGAGAAAAAGCAUCGGCUAACUCCGUGCCAGCAGCCGCGGUAAUACGGAGGGUGCGCGCGUUAUCCGGAUUUAUUGGGUUAAGAGGCUGCGUAGGCGGGCUGUUAAGUCAGCGGUCAACUGUCGGGGCCCAACCCCGGCCUGCAGUUGAAACUGGCGGCCUCGAGUGGGCGAGAGGUAUGCGGAAUGCGUGGUGUAGCGGUGAAAUGCAUAGAUAUCACGCAGAACUCUGAUGGCGAAGGCAGCAGACGGGCGCCCGACUGACGCUGAGGCACGAAGGCGUGGGUAUCGAACAGGAUUAGAUACCCUUGUAGUC